UCCUACGGGAGGCAGCAGUGGGGAAUAUUGGGCAAUGGGCGAAAGCCUGACCCAGCAACGCCGCGUGAAGGAAGAAGGUUUUCGGAUCGUAAACUUCUAUCCCGGGUGAAGAUAAUGACGGUAGCCCGGAAGGAAGCCCCGGCUAACUACGUGCCAGCAGCCGCGGUAAUACGUAGGGGGCAAGCGUUGUCCGGAAUGAUUGGGCGUAAAGGGCGCGUAGGCGGCUCUGUAAGUCUGGAGUGAAAGUCCUGCUUUUAAGGUGGGAAUUGCUUUGGAAACUGUGGAGCUUGAGUGCAGGAGAGGUUAGCGGAAUUCCCGGUGUAGCGGUGAAAUGCGUAGAGAUCGGGAGGAACACCAGUGGCGAAGGCGGCUAACUGGACUGUAACUGACGCUGAGGCGCGAAAGUGUGGGGAGCAAACAGGAUUAGAUACCCUGGUAGUCCACACUGUAAACGAUGAAUGCUAGGUGUAGGGGGUAUCGACCCCUUCUGUGCCGGAGUAAACACAAUAAGCAUUCCGCCUGGGGAGUACGGCCGCAAGGUUGAAACUCAAAGAAAUUGACGGGGGCCCGCACAAGCAGCGGAGCAUGUGGUUUAAUUCGAAGCAACGCGAAGAACCUUACCAGGUCUUGACAUCCAGGUAAAACUUGAGAGAUUAAGUGUGCCUUCGGGCAAUCUGAGACAGGUGGUGCAUGGUUGUCGUCAGCUCGUGUCGUGAGAUGUUGGGUUAAGUCCCGCAACGAGCGCAACCCUUGUGAUCAGUUACUAACGGGUAAAGCCGAGGACUCUGAUAAGACUGCCGGGGACAACUCGGAGGAAGGUGGGGACGACGUCAAAUCAUCAUGCCCCUUAUGACCUGGGCUACACACGUGCUACAAUGGCCACAACAGAGAGAGGCGAAUUCGAGAGGAAGAGCGGAUCUCAAAAAAGUGGUCUCAGUUCGGAUUGUGGGCUGCAACCCGCCCACAUGAAGUCGGAGUUGCUAGUAAUCGCGGAUCAGCAUGCCGCGGUGAAUACGUUCCCGGGCCU
rnacentral:rRNA from 1 species